CCGAGUUUACAACCCCCAAACCCCUGUGAACAUACCACUUGUUGCCUCGGCGGAUCAGCCCGCUCCCGGUAAAACGGGACGGCCCGCCAGAGGACCCCUAAACUCUGUUUCUAUAUGUAACUUCUGAGUAAAACCAUAAAUAAAUCA
rnacentral:misc_RNA from 1 species